AUGUAGAGGCCUUGAAUAUCUCUCGCUUGCUAUUUGCUGAUGAUACUAUUAUAUCUAUGGAGUUGAAUUGGAAAAUGUUAAAGCCUCGAUGCAUAUUUUGCUAUGUUUUGAGGUGGUUAUGGGUGAAGGGUGAAUUUCAGGAAGAGUGAGAUAAGUCCUAACAGAGGGAACAUGGAAAGAUUGGUGUUUGUUGUGUUGAGCUGACUGAAAAGUCAAUUUCCGUUUGUUUUGUUAGCCUACAACAUUGCUUUUUUUUUUUUUUUUGUGGGGUUUAUCUUUAAGCUGCUGCUAGUGGUGUCUAACUGCAUGGAGGUUAUCAAUGGUGGGUACAUUGAACUCUGAUCUUUGUGAUGUCUGCUCAAGAUUGGCAAUUGGAAGUGUGUAGUAAUAUCUUUGAGCUAUUGUAUUCUUCUCAAAUACACGUGGGAAUCGAUGAUAUGGUGCACUCAAAUUGGAAAUUAAAUAAAAAUGGCUGUUUUAGCGUUUGUUCAUACUAUGAGCAAUUUGGAGAGUGAUGGUGGCUACAAAGGUUCUUUCUUUGUGUAAAUUGCGACUCUAGAGAAAAUUCUCAUGGUCAACCUUAUUGAAUGGGGAAUGCUAUUAUUGCUAUAAGUACAUUGAUUGUUUGCUUUUGCGUUGUCUAAUCGCCAGGGAGUUAUGGGAUUUACAUUCAUGACAUUUCCAAUUGAAUGGUUGAUGCCUGAAAUGCUGAGAAGAGUGCUACAACGUUGGGGACAAAGACUGAAGACCUAGGCUCUUUCAGAAAUAUAGCAUGGAAUACGGUUCCAUUUUGUUUGAUGCGGCAAGCAUGGUGGGAGAAGAAUAGGACCUUUUAGGGGCCAGAGCUAUAUAUAGAGGAACUAAAAUCCCAAUUUGUUGGGUUUUCUUUCUUUUGGAUGUCUUUGCAUAGGAAUUUUUGGUUCAUAGCUAGUAUACUCCAUUUGUUCCCUAGGUAUCUUUGUAUAAUCUCUUAUGAAUAUUAUUGCUUUUACUUAGGAAGGGGAAAAAAAUCUCAUGAUCAAUUUUGUGCACUUGGAUUCUAGUUUCUUAUUGCUUGAUGCAUGUAACGAUGGAUACUGAUGCAAUAUCUAAAACUAAUUAAUCAAGUUGCCUAUUGUUUUUAA